AUGCAAAUAUCCAGAGAAUGCACCUUGCACAGAAACAUCCUGGAGCUAUUUUAAGAGGCAGCAUUAUUUUACUGACAAGUUUUCAGAAUUUAGCUCUCUGACUUGCCCCCAGCCUAACCUCCAAACUGACUGUUCUCAGAAAGGCUAUGUGAGUGUGUAAGUGUGUAUAUCAAGGAGGGGGACCCUGUCCCUGGCUUCUCCUUAGACAAUGCCAUUCAUAGUGAGCUAUGCAGGCAGAUAUGGCACAGUGUAACUUGGGAAUUAAUGGAGUCUCUCUAAUAGAGAUACUCACCUAUAGGCUUGUCAGAGAAGCCUGAUGUUCCAGUUAUCAUUAGCAUGACCUUCAUUCUUUAAGGGCCUUCUUAAAGACUAAGGUGUUUUGCUUGGAUUAGUAUAACAUGUUCUCUUGUAAAGUUUGCGCAUUUAAAAAUCCAAGUGACUGAAGAGGUUAGUUUAUCCAAUCAACCCACUACCACCCACUAUUGUCAUCUCUUUGAGAUUAGGAUUCUGAAAGAAUGAGGAAAAGGAAGGCUGCAGAGGGAAAGGCUUGAGAAGCCCUGAAUAUUGCUUGGGAGGAGGAAGUCAGAAACCUGGAGAGGCAAGCAGCCACAUGAGGGUCUCAGCAUGGGGGAGCAAGUAGUAGAUAAGAGUCAACAGGGACACCAGAGGCCAGGUGAGUAUCAGCAAAAGGCUAACCCUGGCCAGUGAUCAAGGCUGACUGCUGCAUGGGAAUCUACAGUUUACAGAGAACUUUCUCAUGUCAUUUGAAUCUCAUAAAAUCCCAGUGAAGU
rnacentral:lncRNA from 1 species